ensembl:rRNA 5S_rRNA 5S ribosomal RNA
GCUUACGACCACACCGGCCUGAGUACGCCUGAUCUCGUCUGAUCUCGGAAGCUAAGCAGGGUCGGGCCUGGUUAGUACUUGGAUGGGGGAGACUUCCUGGGAAUACCAGGUGCUGUAAGCU